GCGCACGUGGUGGAAUUGGUAGACAUGCCACCUUGAGGGGGUGGUGUCGGUAACGAUGUGCAGGUUCAAAUCCUGUCGUGCGCA
rnacentral:tRNA from 1 species